UGCUUCCUGGAAAAACCAAACUGCAUUACAACAUGAAAAGGCUUUGAUGAGUUAAGGUACAACAGGCAUUCAGAAUGCUGUAGAUUGAGUAGGAGACAGAGAUGGGCUGAGGCUGAAAGGUGGACCAGGGCCAAAUCCUGAAGCAGCUGGAAAACUUGCUAAACACUUUUCCUAAAGGCAGUGUUACUGAAAAGCUGAUGAGUCAUGAAAAGGGGAAGAUCUCAAUGACUGAUCAUCCUAGAAGCAAGUGAAUAACUGCUUUCAAGGUUGACUGACUAAAUUUUCCUGCCACCUCAAAUAGCCCAAACUUGACAUGGCCAAACAUUGCACUGAGCAUGGAUAGCCUACAUCUCCAGUGAGGAUGUCCAGUUUGUGUCUGAGAGAAGACGAUAUGGAAUUGUUAAACUCAAAGAACAGGGAUAAAAAACUGAUCCAUCUCACCUACCUGUUAUGGAAAGGAUAACACAAAACCGGAAUUGGUUUUUAUGCAAAAACAAAUUAUUAAUGUAAAGUAAAGAACAUUUCCUAUCAACUUAUUCUCUUUCUUUCAAAAGUGCUAAACAUUGUUUUCACUUUAUAUGAUACAUCUAUAUCACUGAUAUGCCUUUCUUUAUAUAAUAGAAUAUUAUAUUUCAUUGUAUUUAGUUUUCAAAUUACUCUUAAAAAACUAAACCCUCCAUUGUCACUUCACUGAAAUGAGAGAAUUAUUUUAAGUGUUAAAGUGUUUACUCUUAGCUUAGUUGCCAUUGGUGGUAAAAGGAUGUUUUGACGUCCUUACAUAUUCGUAGAACCAGGGCACAUAGACAAAUGAGGGGAGCGACCUGGCCUCCAGAAAUAUGUUUUACCUUCUAUGGCCCCAUUGAUUUUAAUAUAGUGCUUUGAUAUCACACUGGAUAAAAAAUCAGAAUUACAGGUUUCUAUUUGAGAGGGAAACUGGAUAGGGGUAGGGAGACUCGUUAUCAUAAAAUGUCUAGGAAUUCUUAAGGAUAGAAAAAAUUUUUAUUAAUUGCUCAGGUGAGAUAAAAGGGAGACAUUUUAUUAUAUAAUGAGAAGACUUCUUCCCUCAAGUAGCUUAUUAAAUUUAAUUUAAAGAAUCUUGUUUUAAACUACAAAAUAUUUAAAAACAUACUUUAAAAAGACUAUAUCUCUCUUAAUAAUGUUUCAUUGUAAACUUCUAUGACUUACUGAGUUAUUUAAAAAUAUAUGAAUUUAAGUAUUUACCCCUGCUUUGUUUCUCUUCCAUGCUCAAAGUAGAGCAUUCUGUAAGUUUAACUCCUAUAAAAGAAGAGUUUAAUGAUAUUAGAAAGUUCAUCAAACCAGGUGACAUUUAAGCAUAGUUCAUAGUUUUUUUCUUUCUAAUUUUUGUCCUCACAUUAUAUUUGGUAAUGGAUAUACCCUCUUUCUUAUAUGCUUGGUAGACGCAUUCCUUGGUCAUAGGAACAUAUGGGCUCUUGGAAUUGUGUCCAGAAUACCACCAUAUUGAUCCCAUUUGCAAAGACUAUGACUGAUAAAGUAAAAUAAGCCACAUUGACGACAAUGAAGAACUGCAACUAACGAGCAUGAAGUGUCUUUGUGUUCUAUCUCCCAUUUUCUGGAAUCUCCUAUUUAUUUGGAAUUCUGUUUUUUACUACAAAAUUUAAAUAGGAUUUUCUCUUAACCCUGUGAAUGUUUCCUAUGGCUGCUGUAAUAAAUCACCACAAACUUAGUGGUUUAAAACAGAACGAUUUAUUCUUUCAUAUUUCUGUAGGUCAGAAGUCCAAGAAUGGGUCUUAUUCGGUAGGGUUAAAAUCAAGAUGUCCUCAGAACUGGUUCCUUCUGAAGGCUCCAGGGGAGAAUCUAUUCCCUGACUUUUCCCACUUCUAAAGGCGGCCUGCAUUCCUUGGCUCAUGAUCCCUCAGUCACACUUCUCCAACCCCUUGAUUCCACCAUCACAUUUCCUUGUACUGACUUUGAUCCCUCUGCUCCCUCUUAUAAGGACACUUGUGAUUACAUUGAACCCACUCAGGUAAUCCAGGUUAAUCUCUGCAUCUCAAGAUCUGUAACUUAAUCACAUGUGCAAAGUCCCUUUUGGCAUAGAAGCAUCCUAUUCAGAAGUUUCAAGGAUGAGAAUAUGGCUAUCUUGUGGGGGUAGAUGUUAUUCAACGUACCAUGUCCUUAUUGACUUAUGUAUUUUUAUCCUAUUGCAUUAUAUUUCUGUAGAUUUAUUUUUUACCAUAAGGUAUGUAUAACAAACAAUAUAGUUUAAAUUUGUUUUAACAUCCCCCAAUCUAUAUAAUGGACAUUGCUUUUUUUGACUCCCCUAGUGGAUAAGUCUUAUGGGAGGCAGAGCCCAAAUUCUUGCUACAGAAGUUCAAGGGGCUAGAUCCUUCCUCCCCCAAUACCCUGGCAUCUGGACUGUGGUCAUAUGACUUCUGCUAAGCCCAUGUGGGCUCCAGCUCCAAGCCUCAGAGACCAUUUAGACAUUCUUCAGAGAAGGGUAGUGGCAACCAGGGCCCAGUGACAGCAUAUCCAUACAGCUCCUGUGGCAAGACCUGUGCUGUGUUUCCUUCUGCUUAACCUUCCUUGUUUCCAGACAUUUGUUUCUGAACCUGGGCUUCCAACUGUCCCUUUUAAGGACUGCUACACAAUGGAAUACUAUUCAGCGGUAAGAAAAGAUGAAAUAGGACCGUUUGUGACAACAUGGCUGG